AGUGAACGCUGGCGGUAGGCCUAACACAUGCAAGUCGAACGGCAGCACAGUAAGAGCUUGCUCUUACGGGUGGCGAGUGGCGGACGGGUGAGGAAUACAUCGGAAUCUACUUUUUCGUGGGGGAUAACGUAGGGAAACUUACGCUAAUACCGCAUACGACCUACGGGUGAAAGCAGGGGAUCUUCGGACCUUGCGCGAUUGAAUGAGCCGAUGUCGGAUUAGCUAGUUGGCGGGGUAAAGGCCCACCAAGGCGACGAUCCGUAGCUGGUCUGAGAGGGUGAUCGGCCACACUGGAACUGAGACACGGUCCAGACUCCUACGGGAGGCAGCAGUGGGGAAUAUUGGACAAUGGGCGCAAGCCUGAUCCAGCCAUGCCGCGUGAGUGAAGAAGGCCUUCGGGUUGUAAAGCCCUUUUGUUGGGGAAGAAAAACAGCAUAUUAAUACCCCGCUGUUCUGACGGUACCCAAAGAGUAAGCACCGGCUAACUUCGUG
rnacentral:rRNA from 1 species